rnacentral:rRNA from 1 species
GACGAACGCUGGCGGCGUGCCUAAUACAUGCAAGUAGAACGCACAGUUUAUACCGUAGCUUGCUACACCAUAGACUGUGAGUUGCGAACGGGUGAGUAACGCGUAGGUAACCUGCCUGGUAGCGGGGGAUAACUAUUGGAAACGAUAGCUAAUACCGCAUAAUAUUGAUUAUUGCAUGAUAAUUGAUUGAAAGAUGCUAUUGCAUCACUACCAGAUGGACCUGCGUUGUAUUAGCUAGUAGGUGAGGUAACGGCUCACCUAGGCGACGAUACAUAGCCGACCUGAGAGGAUGAUCGGCCACACUGAGACUGAGACACGGCCCAGACUCCUACGGGAGGCAGCAGUAGGGAAUCUUCGGCAAUGGACGAAAGUCUGACCGAGCAACGCCGCGUGAGUGAAGAAGGUUUCCGGAUCGUAAAGCUCUGUUGUAAGAGAAGAACGGGUGUGAGAGUGGAAAGUUCACACUGUGACGGUAUCUUACCAGAAAGGGACGGCUAACUACGUG